AUUGAACGCUAGCGGGAUGCCUUACACAUGCAAGUCGAACGGCAGCGCGGACUUCGGUCUGGCGGCGAGUGGCGAACGGGUGAGUAAUGUAUCGGAACGUGCCCCGUAGCGGGGGAUAACUACGCGAAAGCGUGGCUAAUACCGCAUACGCCUACGGGGAAAGGGGGGAGUUCUUCGGAACCUCUCACUAUUGGAGCGGCCGAUAUCGGAUUAGCUAGUUGGUGGGGUAAAGGCCUACCAAGGCGACGA
rnacentral:rRNA from 1 species